GCUGAUGUGGCUCAGUGGUAGAGCAUUGGCCCGUGCAAGGAAGGGUCAUGGGUUCAAUUCCCGGUCAAGGGCA
rfam:Myotis lucifugus cont2.21954, whole genome shotgun sequence.